rnacentral:rRNA from 1 species
UACAGGGGGGGCAAGCGUUGUUCGGAAUUACUGGGCGUAAAGGGCGCGUAGGUUGUUAUUUAAGUGAGAUGUGAAAUCCCCGGGCUUAACCUGGGAACUGCAUCUUAUACUGGGUAACUGGAGUGCAAUAGAGGGUAGUGGAAUUUCCGGUGUAGCGGUGAAAUGCGUAGAUAUCGGAAGGAACACCAGUGGCGAAGGCGGCUACCUGGAUUGACACUGACACUGAGGCGCGAGAGCGUGGGGAGCAAACAGG